rnacentral:rRNA from 1 species
AUUGAACGCUGGCGGCAUGCCUUACACAUGCAAGUCGAACGGUAACAGGUCUUCGGAUGCUGACGAGUGGCGAACGGGUGAGUAAUACAUCGGAACGUGCCUAGUAGUGGGGGAUAACUACUCGAAAGAGUGGCUAAUACCGCAUGAGAUCUACGGAUGAAAGCAGGGGAUCGCAAGACCUUGUGCUACUAGAGCGGCCGAUGGCAGAUGAGGUAGUUGGUGGGAUAAAAGCUUACCAAGCCGACGAUCUGUAGCUGGUCCGAGAGGACGAUCAGCCACAAUGGGACUGAGACACGGCCCAGACUCCUACGGGAGGCAGCAGUGGGGAAUUUUGGACAAUGGGCGCAAGCCUGAUCCAGCAAUGCCGCGUGCAGGAUGAAGGCCUUCGGGUUGUAAACUGCUUUUGUACGGAACGAAAAGCCCCGGGUUAAUACCCUGGGGUCAUGACGGUACCGUAAGAAUAAGCACCGGCUAACUACGUGCCAGCCGCCGCCGUAA